CACUUGCCAUGACUUUAUUUUUGAAUAUUUCUGUGUUCAUGUGGUAGGGAAAACAUUGUUGUAUACUACAAAUUCCCUGUUUUGCUUUUAGGUUGGAGACUACAUAAGACUUUGACAGUUGGCGGGAAACCAUCAUCAACUGGAGAGAUGCCGGUAAAAAGAUGGCCAUAAAACAGUGACCGCUGAUUCGCAUUGAGUUCUUUCUUACAUAUUGGAUGACCUAUGUUUUUUAUUGCUUAAAUCAUUGCGGCUUGGAAUGCUCUUUAAGAAAAGGUAGAGGAAUGUCUGCGACUAAGUCAAGGGCCACUGGAUAAGGGUUGUUGAUGGCAAAACAGGUUGGAGACUACAUAAGACUUUGACAGUUGGCGGGAAACCAUCAUCAACUGGAGAGAUGCCGGUAGAGGAAUGUCUGCGACUAAGUCAAGGGCCACUGGAUAAGGGUUGUUGAUGGCAAAACAGGUUGGAGACUACAUAAGACUUUGACAGUUGGCGGGAAACCAUCAUCAACUGGAGAGAUGCCGGUAAAAAGAUGGCCAUAAAACAGUGACCGCUGAUUCGCAUUGAGUUCUUUCUUACAUAUUGGAUGACCUAUGUUUUUUAUUGCUUAAAUCAUUGCGGCUUGGAAUGCUCUUUAAGAAAAGGUAUGGUUAUGGGGGUGUCUACGCGCAAAAGUUUGACUUUAUUUUUUGUUAAAGUUAUUGCUUUUACAUUGAAUUUGUGCAGGAAAUCUUUUGGUAUGUU